UUGAAAGCAUUUGCAAAACUAAUGUAACUAGUACUAUCUGCACAAAUACUAAAAGCAGAAACCUAUUUCCUUCCAAAACCAAACACGAUUCCUCCAAAAAAAUCAAUGAAUUCAACGUUAUUCUUUCAAACUUAAGAAAAACCAGAAACGUUUUCAAAUGAAUUCAAUGUUAUUCGUUCCAAAAUUUUUAGGAACUAAAUAAAAUUUCGUCCGUGAAUUUCUAAAGAAGCAGGGGCGAAUUUUGCUCAAUCAACGAAGGUUUUCCAAUGGAGUAUUAUACUGAGUUUUCCCUACUCCAGGUCCUGAUAGAUAGGUCGAGAGCCUUCCAAGUAGGCUAUCAGCUCAGCGGAAGAUGUUGGUGCGCUCCAUUUGCUUCGGAGCUGCGUAUUUGGUUAGUAUGAUUUAGACGUCUAUUGUUAGGUAUGACGGGACUCUGUUCCGAACUUUGUGACACUUAUGUACUCUUAGAGGCUUGUA